UGAUUGAAGUGAUGAGAAGAGAAUAUACAAGUUAUUUACAUUUUUGUGUUUGGAUGGAUAAACCCAUUGCCUACGUACCAUCUUAUAAAAAGAUUAGGAUCAAAACCUCGUAGUUCGGGGUAAAAAUUUCAAAAAAAUGAGUUGGUGAAUUGAUUGGUCCAAAAGCCUUGAGAUCUUUUGUUAUCAAAGGGAGAAAACUCAACCUAAAAC
rnacentral:lncRNA from 1 species